rfam:Ciona savignyi cont_58121, whole genome shotgun sequence.
UCCUCGUUAGUAUAGCGGUAAGUGUCGCCGUCUGUUACACGGCAGACCAUGGUUCGAUUCCCUGACGGGGAG